AGGAGGAACAACCCCAGUGGCCGUGGCCUGCUCUGCAGCCCUAGAGUCAGCUCCCGCAGUAACUAGGGAGCUCUCGGUCUGCAGGGCCUGGAGGCCCCGGGGCGGG
rnacentral:pre_miRNA from 1 species